AAAGUUCCAAGGGAGGAAAUCUUUGGUACGCAAUCAAAAAGGCCCAUAUCCUAUAUUGGUGACCUCCAUUUGCACUUUAGGGAAGUGUGCCUAUCUAAGGUCUACCCAAAGCAGCAGAGCCUACAUUGUAAUUCGUAGUAGUGGAGGCCUGCGUUCACGCAGUCCUCUU